CGAACAAACAAACUAACAUGAGGACUAGUCUGCCCCAGCCACCAACGACACAUUUUGUUGAUUAUAUUGAAAGCAAUGUUGUUUAGUAUGAGAUUAUUAGACUGCAUGAGAUGAGGUUAUUUCAGAAAAAAUAAACACCAUCUUCGCCGAUAAUAGGACAGAUGAUGUACGGUGCUGCAUCCUAAUGUUCGGUGAGAACAGCAUUAUAAUGUAAGACAUUACAACUAGAUGCUGGCGGACUUACAUUUUAAGCAGAGGAAAGCAAACAAUCUAAAUUCAAUAGCAGCUCAAAUUUGACCAAUCAUUUCAGCUUUACAUUGUAUCUUUCGUAAUCUAUUUGAUUGACUAAUUUCUCUUGAAAACUAGGAGGAAAUUCUCAUUCAUUGGGACGAAUGACACUGAACUGAUAAAAUUAAUGAAAUUAUAUUAUACACACAAUAAGCACUAAUUUCCUGUUUUUGGAAACAUUCUAUGAUAAGCCAAGUGAAUGAAGAAGGAAAGAGGUUAUUAAUGAAAUAAAUCUAACAAAUGUCGUUUGAUUGAUUUGGAAGUAUGAUUCGAGUUUAUCCGUACAUUAUUGUUAUAGAUUACAUGCAGUAUAAUUGUGUUUCAUUUGAUAAAUGUUUCAGUUGAUAUUAUUUUGGUAUUGUUUGACAAAGGGAACAUUGGAUUCCUGAUAAUAAAAUUUACACGAAAAGAAAUUCUCUAUAAGACCUGGUUUAAAAUUAUGGAAGUUAGAUUAUUAAUAGAUUAAUCAGUAAAGUUGAUGGUUUAGUAACAGCGAAAUUGACUCAUUUUCGUUUAUCUUAGUUUUCAACGCAGAAUCUAAAAAUCAAAAAAAAUAUAUCAAAUGGACUGGAGGUGUCGCCUAACACAGACAGAUUCCGCUAGAAAGAGUUCGCUAUUAUUUAAAGGAAAUUGUUGGCACCAUCUAGCAUUAAAUCAAAGGCAGGAAAAAAUUUUUCAAAAUAAUUUUCCAUUUUUUUUGGGAAAAGUUUGUCAGUCAUCUGUGCCAGUGAGUGUAGUGUUUUCGUCAAAAGUUAAUAUAUAAGUUAAGAAAAGAACUAGGUAUUUUUCCUUACUUGCAAAUAUUUU